GCGGAAUCUUGAUUGUUAAAUAUGAGUUACAGGCUAAGGGGUAAAAGUUGAUGGUUUAAGGUGUGGGCUCAGACUGAUGGGGCGGACUGUUAGGUGUAAAAUGAGGCAAAUGGAAUGAAAAGCCAGCAUCAAAUACAAUUAAGUGUGUGGUCACUGUUUAUCGUGUAGUCAUUGGAGGCUGUGGUAUGACAUAGGUUUGAGGGCUGGAGUAAUUCUAAAAACUUAUUUGAUGAGGUGAAAAGGAAAGUUUCGUUUAGUCGGCGCAACAUGUGGUCAUAUGCCGGGGAGACAGGAGGGUAAGGAAUUAUAGAAGGGAACAGACCCCAGGAGACGCAACACAACCCCCGAUUAAUACCUGGCACCCAUUCACUGCUGGGUGGACAGGGGCGUAGGGUAUCGGAAAAGCCGCCCAAAUUUUUCCACUCCGCCCGGGAAUCGAACCCAGGCUCUCUUGGUUGUGAGCCGAGUGUGCUAACCACUGCACCACGAAGCCGCCCUUGAUGAGGUGAGAUUGGUGCAGGAAUGUAAUUUUAGCUUGAGACAAUGGUGGAAUGUUAUGUUAAAAGCAAGGGACAGAGGAGAGGUUGCACAUGGGGGUCAACUUGAGGUCACUUGCUGUCCUGUUAACAAGGAGAUAGGGUUUUGCAACGCCUCGCAAUGUCUGGUCUUAUAAAUGAGCGCUAUCAAAUAACUUAUAUAACAUGAAUUUCAGUUUUCUCUUCCAAUUAAUGUCUUUUCUCCAUUAUUUAAGUGUCUGUCUGAACUUCAAUUUCCAGUGGGUGUUUGGGACAGGUGGUGACAGUGGGUGGGACAGGUGGUGACAGUGGGGAGGACAGGUGGUGACAACUUUGCAACAGUCUUAUAAAAGGGCGCUAUCAAAUAACUUAUAUAACAUGAAUUUAAGUUUUCUCUUCCAAUUAAUGUCUUUUCUCCAUUAUUUAAGUGUCUGUCUAAACUUCAAUUUCCAGUGGGUGUUUGGGACAGGUGGUGACAGUGGGGAGGACAGGUGGUGACAGCUUUGCAACAGUCUUAUAAAAGGGCGCUAUCAAAUAACUUAUAUAACAUGAAUUUAAGUUUUCUCUUCCAAUUAAUGUCUUUUCCCCAUUAUUUAAGUGUCUGUCUGAACUUCAAUUUCCAGUGGGUGUUUGGGACAGGUGGUGACAGUGGGGAGGACAGGUGGUGACAGUGGGGAGGACAGGUGGUGACAGCUUUGCAACAGUCUUAUAAAAGGGCGCUAUCAAAUAACUUAUAUAACAUGAAUUUAAGUUUUCUCUUCCAAUUAAUGUCUUUUCCCCAUUAUUUAAGUGUCUGUCUGAACUUCAAUUUCCAGUGGGUGUUUG